ACACACACACACACACAGGGUGGGACUACACACACACACACACACACACAGGGUGGGACUACACACACACACACACAGGGUGGGACUACACACACACACACACACACACACACACACACAGGGUGGGACUACACACACACACACACACACACAGAACACAGGGUGGGACUACACACACACACACACACACACACACACUACACACACACACACACACACACACAGAACACAGGGUGGGACUACACACACACACACACACACACACACACACACACACACACACACACACACACACAGAACACAGGGUGGGACUACACACACACACACAGAACACUGGGUGGGACUACACACACACACACACACACACACACACACACAGAACACAGGGUGGGACUACACACACACACACACACACAGAACACAGGGUGGGACUACACACACACACACACACACACACACAGGGUGGGACUACACACACACACACAGGGUGGGACUACACACACACACACAGGGUGGGACUACACACACACACACACACACAGGGUGGGACUACACACACACACACACACACAGGGUGGGACUACACACACACACACAGG
ensembl:lncRNA